CUGACUGACCGAUAGUGAACCAGUACCGUGAGGGAAAGGCGAAAAGAACCCCGGCGAGGGGAGUGAAAAAGAACCUGAAACCGUGUACGUACAAGCAGUGGGAGCACGCUUCGGCGUGUGACUGCGUACCUUUUGUAUAAUGGGUCAGCGACUUAUAUUCUGUAGCAAGGUUAACCGAAUAGGGGAGCCGAAGGGAAACCGAGUCUUAACUGGGCGUUAAGUU
rnacentral:rRNA from 1 species